CCUACGGGUGGCAGCAGUGGGGAAUAGUGCACAAGGGGGGAAACCCUGAUGCAGCGACGCCGCGUGAGUGAAGAAGGAAGUCGUGACGUAAAGCUCUAGCAGCAGGGAAGAAAAGGACGGUACCUGAGUAAGAAGCCCCGGCUAACUACGUGCCAGCAGCUGCGGUAAUACGUAGGGGGCAAGCGUUAUCCGGAUUGACUGGGUGUAAAGGGAGCGUAGACGGUGCGGCAAGUCUGGAGUGAAAUGCCGCCGCUUAACUGCGGAACUGCUUUUGAAACUGGCGAACUAGAGUGCGGGAGGGGUAAGCGGAAUUCCUCUUGUAGCGGUGCAAUGCUUAGUUAUUAGG
rnacentral:rRNA from 1 species